UCCAAUGAUGGCAUGAUAUCUUUGAGACCUGAUCAAUUAUAUUUUGAUGACAACUAUAAGCAUUUUUGCUGAGGAU